UCCGUAGGCGGGCAGCUCAGUCCGUGGUGAAAGUUUGCAGCUCAACUGUAAAAUUGCCAUUGAUACUGGUUGUCUUGAAUUAAUGUGAAGUGGUUAGAAUAUGUAGUGUAGCGGUGAAAUGCAUAGAUAUUACAUGGAAUACCAAUUGCGAAGGCAGAUCACUAACAUUAUAUUGACGCUGAUGGACGAAAGCGUGGGGAGCGAACAGGAUUAGAUACCCUGGUAGUCC
rnacentral:rRNA from 1 species